rnacentral:rRNA from 1 species
CAUGGUAAGUGUACCGGAAGGUGCACUUGGAAA